GGAGAGUUGGCCGAGUGGGAAGGCGGCGGCGUGCUGAGCCGUGGCCAGGGUCGUCCCUGCGCGAGUUCGAAUCUCGCACUCUCCG
rnacentral:tRNA from 1 species